AUUGAACGCUGGCGGCAGGCCUAACACAUGCAAGUCGAACGAGUGGCGGACGGGUGAGUAAUGUAUGGGAAACUGCCCGAUGGAGGGGGAUAACUACUGGAAACGGUAGCUAAUACCGCAUACCAUCGGAUGAGCCCAGAUGGGAUUAGCUAGUAGGUGGGGUAACGGCUCACCUAGGCGACGAUCCCUAGCUGGUCUGAGAGGAUGACCAGCCACACUGGAACUGAGACACGGCCCAGACUCCUACGGGAGGCAGCAGUGGGGAAUAUUGCACAAUGGGCGCAAGCCUGAUGCAGCCAUGCCGCGUGUAUGAAGAAGGCCUUAGGGUUGUAAAGUACUUUCAGCGGGGAGGCGUUACCCGCAGAAGAAGCACCGGCUAACUCCGUGCCAGCAGCCGCGGUAAUUC
rnacentral:rRNA from 1 species